ensembl:lncRNA
GUUUGUUGGCAUGUUGCCUUGUUUCUGCUUCAAUGGCUCUAACUACUUUAACUUAUUUAUGUCCUAAAGAGAAUGUAAUUUGUUUACAAAACCCAUAGAUACUUCCUGGUUAAUUUGUAGGGUUACAAAUCAUUCAGCAGAUGUAGUCGGAACUUGAGUUGUUUGGUUAAAAUAACUCAAGUUGUUUAGUUGGAACAAACUAAAGUUGUUUAGUUGGAACAACUCAAGUUGAGUUCUCCUUGUUGGUGUUUAUAACAUACUGUGUAAUGGACUUGCCUGCUAUCUUGUCAAAUAUUGUAGAUAUUUUUAGAGGAUAUCAAAAGAAAACCAAAAUAUAAUGGGAUAUAUCAUUGUGGCAUCUAAGUAUUAUAUAAUUGUUGGGAUCAACUUUGAACCGCUUCCUUUGUUUCCAAACAGAUCUUAAUAAGACAAAGGGUUUUAUUUAUUUAAUUACUAUUUCUCUUAUUUUUAAAUUGUUUUGUUCAAAGCUUGAAGUUUAACUUGAGUUCAUACUAACUCCGGGUUAAGAGGGCUGAACAGGCUUUCUAUUAAGGGUCUGUCUUCUAUAUAAAAACUGCUUGUUUUAAGGAAAAUGUUUUGAAUUAUGUGUGACCAUCAAAGGCUGCGAUGGAUUUAUAUUAGAAAUUGCAAACUAAGUUAUAUUUGGCUCAUCUGUAUGGAAAAUCAAAAAGUUGUGUUGAACAUCUUGUGAUAUAUUGUGUUGAUUCUUUUUUUUAUUUCUUUAUUUAUUUCAAAAGGAAUGAAACACGCAGCUGUCCAAAGCUGUUGGUAUUUUGAACAACUAAAAAAACAACAAAAUGUAAUAACGCUUUGACUCUUUCUCAUAAAAAAAGAGGGAAAAAAACAAUCCUUUUCUGCACUAUCUGGAUACGAAUGAAGCUCUUUGCGGUGUACUUUUAGAUGUGCUUCUGUGUGUUUUAAACAAGCUUGUCUUCCUGCCUUUACCGAGUAUAUGCUAGCAUUUCAACAGUAUUCGGUAGUCGUUCUAAUUAUUUGUUGUGCUUUAAAAUGUGAAAGGAGAGGACAUAGUAAGGACAUAAGGAAGAGGCACACCUAACUUACCGAUCCAUCAAAAGGCACCAAGGGAAACGUUUAUAUCAGCCGUCCCAACCAAGCCUAUUGUAUUACUCUUAUAUUUCUACAACCAAUUAGAGCACUGAAAAGCAUAGUUUAAUAUGCAAGUUCAGCAAAUCACAAAUGUUCUACUAUGAAAUUGAUCCUAUGAUAUUUAUAUCCACACAGGAUUGGUCUUUACUGUCCUGUGUCUUUUAUUAAUGAAUCAGUUAAAAUCAGGAGAGGGUGCGCAAGCUACAACAGUUAGAUCAGGAAGGUUGAACAAGCUAAGGACCGUUUUAGGAAAAACAUUUCUAUUAUAUAUAUUUCAGAGAUGGUGUAUAUGACUUCUGCAGUUAAUUCUUUUGAAAAACGCUUUUCUUUAAAUGUUUUUAACUUUUUGGUUGGUUUGUUUUCAGUAGAAUAUUUGCAUCAAAAGAACUUUAGCCAACAUGCUCAACCAUCUCCGCUCUGUACAUUCAAACUAUACUUUCAGCUUUAAGACGAUGCAGUAGUGGGUAGUAGAACAUUCUAUGUACAUAGCAGAAUGUCUUCUAAGAGGGCAUAACUUGUCCGUCCAUCCGUUCAGGAGAGGAGGUUGUGCUUUACUCUUAACUGCUCCACAACAAGCUUCAUUACUGAUCAGGGCCCGUAUUCACUAAAGAAGUGCUGAUCUCGGUUCAGGUCACAAUGUAUUAUUCGUAAUAAUUUUAAAGAUUCACUGGAUCCUAGCAACACUCGUACUCUGAAACACUGAUCCCUCCCGGUCCCAGUCAGGAGAUGGACCCAGACUGUUGGUCAAAUUACAGCACAGGUACAUUAACCUUGUCCACAUUCACAAUACAACAACAGUAUUGAAACCAACUAUAUAUUAUUCACAACAAUAACAAUCAUAAAGACGAUGAUACUUCUUGCAAUAUAUCACUUGUCUCUGUGUACUGUAUUUAGCAGCAUGCAUUUUGUGGAACAAAGAAAACGUUAAAAUGCCAAUGGUGAAAUUUGGCAUUUCUAGCCGAUUCAUGGGUAUAAAUGAUAAAUACAUGUUCUGUCAUCCUACAUCUUGUUUUUACGAUUUUUUUUAUCUAUACAAUAAUUGUAAAUAAAGAACUCAAUGUCUUUGUUCAUUUAAUACUAUGCAAAAAGUCAUGCUUUCUGAUUGUUAACCCUUCACCUUCCAUAGUGUGUGUUGCUGGAAUGUUUGUGGUCUCAAAAAGUCAGUAAAAAAAUGUGUGAUGUAAAUUAUUUUUUAGCUUAACAAAAGUUAUAUGAACUGUGACUCUUGUUGCUGCUUGACUGUCCAUUACCACAACUCAAAGACAGAAGCAAGCGCAAGUGAAAAAGAAAUAAAAAAUGAAAAAGCACUAAAUAAAUUUCCAGAGCAGCAUGAACCAGAA